ensembl:lncRNA
CGGAGGAGGAGGAGAGAAACAGCAAGCCCUUCACCCUAAUGGAGAAACUGAGGCUGGGGUAGCUCCUGGGGCAGGCCCUGGCCCAUGUGUGAGUCGUUGCAGCGAAGCUCAGAUCUCCGGAGGGACAGCCUCUCCAUUUGCCUUACCAGAAAAAAUGAGACAUGAAGAAAAUAAAGGAAAAUGUUACCAUCUGUUAAUCUAAUGAGCGGACCAUCACAUUUGUUAUAUCCUUUUUGUAUGAUUAUAUAUUUAAUAUUUUAAAAUAAAUAUAUAAAAUAGUGAAUGGACUUAAAAUCUAAUAUAUUUUAUUAGCAUUGAGUUUUUGUAGAAAAUCUGGGGAUUUUAUGGCUAAUAAUAGAGGAAAAUGAUGAAUUUUAAACGUUAUGGUGUUGGAUACCUGAUGUGAUACCUCUCAAGUGUAACAACAGGUCUCAUCCCAGUGAGAAUCGUAGAAGAUCUUUGCAGUAGGUUUGUAUACUGACAGCCUAUACGUGUGCCCUGGGAGGAGCGUGUCUGGAUUCUUCACACCAUUUAGCCACCAUUCCAAAACUUGGCUAGCCAAAAAAUAACAUUUGAAGAUAGG